GAACGAUGAACCGCUUUCGGGCGGGGAUUAGUGGCGAACGGGUGAGUANUNCGUGGGCAAUCUGCCCUGCACUCUGGGACAAGCCCUGGAAACGGGGUCUAAUACCGGAUACUCACUGCCUUGGGCAUCCUUGGNGGUGGAAAGCUCCGGCGGUGCAGGAUGAGCCCGCGGCCUAUCAGCUAGUUGGUGAGGUAAUGGCUCACCAAGGCGACGACGGGUAGCCGGCCUGAGAGGGCGACCGGCCACACUGGGACUGAGACACGNNCNAAANUUAUACGGGAGGCAGCAGUGGGGAAUAUUGCACAAUGGGCGAAAGCCUGAUGCAGCGACGCCGCGUGAGGGAUGACGGCCUUCGGGUUGUAAACCUCUUUCAGCAGGGAAGAAGCGAGAGUGACGGUACCUGCAGAAGAAGCGCCGGCUAACUACGUGCCAGCAGCCGCGGUAAUACGUAGGGCGCAAGCGUUGUCCGGAAUUAUUGGGCGUAAAGAGCUCGUAGGCGGCUUGUCACGUCGGUUGUNAAAGCCCGGGGCUUAACCCCGGGUCUGCAGUCGAUACGGGCAGGCUAGAGUUCGGUAGGGGAGAUCGGAAUUCCUGGUGUAGCGGUGAAAUGCGCAGAUAUCAGGAGGAACACCGGUGGCGAAGGCGGAUCUCUGGGCCGAUACUGACGCUGAGGAGCGAAAGCGUGGGGAGCGAACAGGAUUAGAUACCCUGGUAGUCCACGCCGUAAACGGNGGGCACUAGGUGUGGGCAACAUUCCACGUUGUCCGUGCCGCAGCUAACGCAUUAAGUGCCCCGCCUGGGGAGUACGGCCGCAAGGCUAAAACUCAAAGGAAUUGACGGGGG
rnacentral:rRNA from 1 species